AAAUUAAUGCCAAAAAAAAAAGUAGAUGAGGACGGUUGAAUAUUUGAUUUUGAU
rnacentral:sRNA from 1 species